rnacentral:rRNA from 1 species
GAGUUUGAUCUUGGCUCAGAACGAACGCUGGCGGCGUGGAUAAGACAUGCAAGUCGUGCGGAAUUUACUUGGUAGUAAUAUCGAGUAAAUUUAGCGGCGAAAGGGUGAGUAACACGUGGGAAUUUACCCAGAAGUGUAGGAUAGCUCGCCGAAAGGCGGAUUAAUACUGCAUGUGAUCGUAAGAUUAAAGCGGGGGACCGUAAGGCCUCGCGCUUCUGGAGGAGCCCGCGUCCUAUCAGCUAGUUGGUGAGGUAAUGGCUCACCAAGGCUUUGACGGGUAGCUGGUCUGAGAGGACGACCAGCCACACUGGAACUGAGACACGGUCCAGACACCUACGGGUGGCAGCAGUCGAGAAUUUUUCACAAUGGGGGAAACCCUGAUGGAGCGACGCCGCGUGGAGGAUGAAGGGAUUCGUCCUGUAAACUCCUGUCACUGGGGAAAAAUGCUCCGAUGCUAAUAAGAUCGGAGUUGAUGUUA